rfam:Ascochyta rabiei strain ArDII scaffold_258, whole genome shotgun sequence.
GACAAUGUGCCAGAGUGGUUAAUGGGUUAGACUUGAAUUGUUUUGCAUCCAGUCUUGGAUUCAACACGCUACAUUCAGUCAUCUAAUGACUUCGGUCGCGCAGGUUCGAACCCUGUAGGUGUUA